rnacentral:ncRNA from 1 species
AUUAAAUAAUUGAUUUAUGGUACGAUUGCUAAUCCAAUCGUUUAAAAGGGAAGUCCGGUGAAAAGCCGACGCGGUCCCGCCACUGUGACAAGGAGUGCAGCUGUGGAGAAUACCACUGUUUCAUGUAUGAAAUGGGAAGGUGCAGCAGCACAAUGACUUGGAGUCAGGAGACCUGCCAUGAAUUGUAAUACCUG